UGAGGAAUAUUGGUCAAUGGGCGGGAGCCUGAACCAGCCAAGCCGCGUGAGGGAGGAAGGCCCUAUGGGUCGUAAACCUCUUUUGUCAGGGAACAAAAGCGAGUAUGUAUACUAGUCUGAGUGUACUUGAAGAAAAAGCAUCGGCUAACUCCGUGCCAGCAGCCGCGGUAAUACGGAGGAUGCGAGCGUUAUCCGGAUUUAUUGGGUUUAAAGGGUGCGUAGGCGGCGGUGCAAGUCAGCGGUAAAAGCCCGGGGCUCAACCCCGGCGAGCCGUUGAAACUGCAGUGCUAGAGAAGGCGAGAGGUACGCGGAAUGCGCAGUGUAGCGGUGAAAUGCUUAGAUAUUGCGCAGAACUCCGAUUGCGAAGGCAGCGUACUGGCGCCUGACUGACGCUGAGGCACGAAAGCGUGGGGAUCGAACAGGAUUAGAUACCC
rnacentral:rRNA from 1 species